CUUUAUCGCUAGGGGUUCUGCGCCAGAUUUGGGCGCAGAUGAGAAUUACCCUCUGAACCUGAUUCGGUUAAUACCGGCGUAGGGAAGCGAGCUAGAUACUUC
rnacentral:ncRNA from 2 species